AUUCUAUCCAUGUGGGGAAGGAUGAGAAGCUUCGACUAAGGUUCGAUUCGAGCGAAAGCGAGAAAGCGUUGCCGCAGGCAACGACCCGAAGGGCGAAGCGCGCAGCGCUGAGUCAUCCUUCCCCCAUCACCA
rnacentral:sRNA from 5 species